UGAAACUGCGAAUGGCUCAUUAAAUCAGUUAUCGUUUAUUUGAUAGUACCUUACUACAUGGAUAACCGUGGUAAUUCUAGAGCUAAUACAUGCUAAAAACCUCGACUUCGGAAGGGGUGUAUUUAUUAGAUAAAAAACCAAUGCCCUUCGGGGCUCCUUGGUGAAUCAUAAUAACUUAACGAAUCGCAUGGCCUUGCGCCGGCGAUGGUUCAUUCAAAUUUCUGCCCUAUCAACUUUCGAUGGUAGGAUAGUGGCCUACCAUGGUAUCAACGGGUAACGGGGAAUUAGGGUUCGACUCCGGAGAGGGAGCCUGAGAAACGGCUACCACAUCCAAGGAAGGCAGCAGGCGCGCAAAUUACCCAAUCCCGACACGGGGAGGUAGUGACAAUAAAUACUGAUACAGGGCUCUUUUGGGUCUUGUAAUUGGAAUGAGUACAAUUUAAAUCCCUUAACGAGGAACAAUUGGAGGGCAAGUCUGGUGCCAGCAGCCGCGGUAAUUCCAGCUCCAAUAGCGUAUAUUAAAGUUGUUGCAGUUAAAAAGCUCGUAGUUGAACCUUGGGCCUGGCUGGCCGGUCCGCCUCACCGCGUGUACUGGUCCGGCCGGGCCUUUCCUUCUGGGGAACCUCAUGCCCUUCACUGGGCGUGUUGGGGAACCAGGACUUUUACUUUGAAAAAAUUAGAGUGUUCAAAGCAGGCCUUUGCUCGAAUACAUUAGCAUGGAAUAAUAGAAUAGGACGUGUGGUUCUAUUUUGUUGGUUUCUAGGACCGCCGUAAUGAUUAAUAGGGAUAGUCGGGGGCAUCAGUAUUCAAUCGUCAGAGGUGAAAUUCUUGGAUUGAUUGAAGACUAACUACUGCGAAAGCAUUUGCCAAGGAUGUUUUCAUUAAUCAGUGAACGAAAGUUAGGGGAUCGAAGACGAUCAGAUACCGUCGUAGUCUUAACCAUAAACUAUGCCGACUAGGGAUCGGACGGUGUUAGUAUUUUGACCCGUUCGGCACCUUACGAGAAAUCAAAGUUU
rnacentral:rRNA from 1 species